CCUACGGGAGGCAGCAGUGGGGAAUUUUGGACAAUGGACGCAAGUCUGAUCCAGCCAUUCCGCGUGCAGGACGAAGGCCUUCGGGUUGUAAACUGCUUUUGUACGGAACGAAAAAAGCUCUUAUUAAUACUAGGAGUCCAUGACGGUACCGUAAGAAUAAGCACCGGCUAACUACGUGCCAGCAGCCGCGGUAAUACGUAGGGUGCAAGCGUUAAUCGGAAUUACUGGGCGUAAAGCGUGCGCAGGCGGUUGUAUAAGACAGAUGUGAAAUCCCCGAGCUUAACUUGGGAACUGCAUUUGUGACUGUAUAGCUAGAGUACGGCAGAGGGGGAUGGAAUUCCGCGUGUAGCAGUGAAAUGCGUAGAUAUGCGGAGGAACACCGGUGGCGAAGGCAAUCCCCUGGGCCUGUACUGACGCUCAUGCACGAAAGCGUGGGGAGCAAACAGGAUUAGAUACCCUGGUAGUCCACGCCCUAAACGAUGUCAACUGGUUGUUGGGUCUUCACUGACUCAGUAACGAAGCUAACGCGUGAAGUUGACCGCCUGGGGAGUACGGCCGCAAGGUUGAAACGUCAAAUGAAUUGACGG
rnacentral:rRNA from 1 species